ensembl:lncRNA EGOT eosinophil granule ontogeny transcript
CAACUUCUGGGCAAGGCAGAGGUGGGUUUGGCUUUUUAAAAAUUUUUUCAGCCUGUCCUCAUGGAACUACAUAUUCUUUUCUAAGAACUUUUCAUCCUAACCUCCCUACUCACAUCUUCUAAGUGUCUCUGCUCUGGUGGGAAUGUGAUGGACAACACAGAGCCAUCUCAGAAGCCUCUGUGGCCACCACCAGGCCGGCCAGGGUGCAGGGGGCCACUCCCUGGGCAGCCAUAGGGUUCUCAGCAAGGUGCAUUCGUCGUCCCUGCUGAGAAUCUGAUGGGGCAGCAUUUUUUUUUUUAAUUAAAUGCAAGCUGAGUCAUUUCAACCUGCAACCUUCAGGUAACAGGAGUUACCCAAGCUCCAGGAAUUAUGAUUGUGGGGUAAACCCAUUCUCUUGUUUUCUUGCGGUUCUAUUUUAUAACGCACUAGAGGAGACAGAGACGUCAUUGCUUCACCCAGGGCAAGAGGACAAAGGAGGAUGCAUGGAAAUACAAACAGCCCUUCUCCUCCAGGCCAUACCGACUGUCCAACUAGCAACAGACUUCACCUGGUUUUGGAGCAAUCUGAAUUUGGAAUAUGCCAGAGAAAACUUCUAUCAGGCAAGAUGGAAGACUCCUAGGAUAGGUCUCUCUCAUGGAGGGAUUGGCACGAUGGUAAGAGUCCAGUGGAUGGAAAAGGCCUCCUCCUUAAAGAUGGUGAUGGAAACGAGCACUGCACAGGGAAACACAAAUCAGGUCCCCUGAAAUCCAGCCCAACCUGGCCAGACCCUCCAGUGCCCAUCAGGGCUUAUGAACAGGGUGCUUCAGUGUCUUUGUUAGGGGUGGUUAAAAAGGAGCACGUGCUUAUAGGGGAUGCUGCUGAGCUCCAUGAUUUUGACUUCCUGUCUAACCUGUUGAUGCUACAAAACUCUUUUAAAAACAGUUACCAUGGGAACUUUUCCCUAGCAAGCAUUCUUCAAGAAACGUUACAGGUGCUGGUGAAUUCAAUGCCCUUGGUGUCAAUAAGCUUUUGCUGAGUCUUAGAAUGUGUGGCUUGAACUGAGAGGACUUUCAAACAGAUAAUGCGAAGUUUCCAAUGCAAAUGUCUUCGGGGUUAAGUGUCAGUGAAGUGCAGUGGAAGGUAGGGGGAUAAAAUGAUCUCAGUGUAUAUGGAGGCCCCACUUAAGCAUUCAAAAAAUUCUAUAUACAGUGUUUUCAAUGUAUUAUGUAUCAGCAAAACAAAAUACCCCAUAGGGCUAUAAUCAGCUCAGGGGGUCACCUCAGCAAGAGAUGCUCUGGCUAUCACUCCUACUACGGGAUUUCCUCUCUCAUCAGAACCAGUAGGUGGUCAAAACCACAAUAAUGCAUAAAUGAAGGCAGGGAAUUGGGUAUCCAAUGUGAGCAACUGAAAAGGUGCCAUGUAUUAGCUAUUUGCCAUUAUGGUUCUGCAAGUGCUCAGAUGACUCAUAAAAUGACCAGAACAAAA